CAUAUCAAUAAGCGGAGGAAAAGAAACCAACAGGGAUUGCCCUAGUAACGGCGAGUGAAGCGGCAACAGCUCAAAUUUGAAAUCUGGCUCUCUAGGGGGUCCGAGUUGUAAUUUGCAGAGGGUGCUUUGGCGUUGGCAGCGGUCUAAGUUCCUUGGAACAGGACGUCACAGAGGGUGAGAAUCCCGUACGUGGUCGCCAGCCUUCGCCGUGUAAAGCCCCUUCGACGAGUCGAGUUGUUUGGGAAUGCAGCUCUAAAUGGGAGGUAAAUUUCUUCUAAAGCUAAAUACUGGCCAGAGACCGAUAGCGCACAAGUAGAGUGAUCGAAAGAUGAAAAGCACUUUGGAAAGAGAGUCAAAAAGCACGUGAAAUUGUUGAAAGGGAAGCGCUUGCAGCCAGACUUGCCUGUAGUUGCUCAGCCGGGCUCCGGCCCGGUGCACUCUUCUGCGGGCAGGCCAGCAUCAGUUCGGGCGGCCGGAUAAAGACCUCUGUCACGUACCUCCCUCCGGGGAGAACUUAUAGGGGAGGUGAAAUGCGGCCAGUCCGGACUGAGGUCCGCGCAUCUGCUAGGAUGCUGGCGUAAUGGCUGUAAGCGGCCCGUCUUGAAACACGGACCAAGGAGUCUAACAUCUAUGCGAGUGUUUGGGUGUCAAGCCCGAGCGCGUAAUGAAAGUGAACGGAGGUGGGAACCCUUCGGGGUGCACCAUCGACCGAUCCUGAUGUCUUCGGAUGGAUUUGAGUAAGAGCAUAGCUGUUGGGACCCGAAAGAUGGUGAACUAUGCUUGAAUAGGGUGAAGCCAGAGGAAACUCUGGUGGAGGCUCGCAGCGGUUCUGACGUGCAAAUCGAUCGUCAAAUUUGGGCAUAGGGGCGAAAGACUAAUCGA
rnacentral:rRNA from 1 species